UCUGAGGUUUCAAGGGUUGCUAG
rnacentral:piRNA from 1 species